GUACCAGGGGUUAGGACUCCAGCAAGUCAUUUUUUAUUUGAACAUAUUAAUUAACCCACCACACUCACUCUGUCUGCCCAGCUCCUGCUAGAAGGGCACAGAUAAGCCAGGCAAGGAAUACGGGACUCUAACUCUCUUAUGGGACAGAGGUCCCUACCAAGAUGGCAACCUGAGAAGAUCAAGGGACACCAUCCCUCACUUUAGUGCCCACUUGAAAGAGGAUGUUGUUCCAGGAGAAGCGAGCUGACCUUCCCACCCCAGAUCUAGUGUAGCUCUGCAGAAACUUUGACCACAGGGAGAAAAAGACUUUAAGGAUGGAGAAUUCCAUAACUUUACCUGAGGGAACUGAGUUUAUUUGGAAAGGAGACUGGAGAAGUUGUCAAAAACAAUGGAAAUCUUGAUGGGCAGCAAUUAAGAGAUGCUGAUCACAACAAAUGAAAUGUGAAGGCCAGAAACAGAAUGAGGAUCCAGGGAAAGACACAGGCGAGAAUAGCUUUUCUAGGAUCACAGUCAUCUUUGGGGGCGGAAGGAGACUGUGUCCAUGGGUGGCACCCACUGGGAGAGAUCAGAGUGGAAAGCACAGCAGACUUGAAAAUAAUUCUGCGAACCCCACAUACUUCCAUCAGCAAAACACACCGGGCUGACUGCUCGUGGGCUUAAACAUGAACUCUGACCAGACAAUGACUGAGCAAAAAGCAACUCUGAUGCAAAGAGAUUCUUAGGAAUCAUACUCAUUUCCUAUUGGUCAGGAAGACUGUGGGUAGGGCAUGCCCAAGGCUGCUUGCUCUCCAGAGUGGCUGGAGAAAGGAGCUCUGAGAUCCAAACUCCUGAUCACACAUCCCGCAACAGUAUAAGCACCCUGUGCUGUGUGAAAACAGUCUCCAAGCCAAACACACAGUCCAAAGUGAAGGGCAAACCCUAACUAGCCCAGGGGUUUAAGACAACUUUUCACCAAUAAGUGGCUUACUUAAAUCCAAGCCAACACCAAGGAACAUAAGUAAUAAAAACAAACCAAGAAGGACAAUUCUGAGCAGGGACAUCAGAGCUACACACUGUGGGUGAAAAUAGACUUCAUAAAAUUAGUUCAUCCAAGUCACUAAAUAGAUAAACAUAGACUAUGAAAUUAGUUCAUCCAAGACAUAAAACAAAUGAACAAUUGACCAAACAGUAAUGUCAACAUUGAGCCUUAGAGGGAGAAGAAUUAUUAUCUAAAUUUGCUGCAAUUUAUCAUCUAAAAUGCUUGGUUCUCAACAAAAUAUUAUGAGAGUUACAAAAAAAGAGGAAAGUAUGAACCAUUUAUGGAGGGGUGGGAAGAAGCAGGCAACAGAAACUGCCUUUGAGGGUGGUCCAGAUGUUGCAAACAAGGACUUCAAAGCAGGUGUUAUAAGCAUGUUUAAAGUACUAAAUAAACCAUGUUUAAAUAAUUAAAAUAAGGUGUAGUAACAAUGACUCAGCAAGUAUCAAUAUGAAGACAGAAAUGAUGUUGAAAAAUCAUUUUGAAAAAAGGAACCAAAUUGAAAUUCUAGAAUUAAAAAGUUUAAUAACUGAAAUGAAAAAUCCACUAGUUUCUCAGCUCUAAAUUUGAGUUGGCUAAAGAAAAAAUGAUCAAAUUGAGAGAUUUGAUAAAUAGAGAUUAUUCAGUCUUAAGAAGAAAAGGCAUGGAGAAAAUUAGCAAAGCCUCAGAAGAAUACAGGACGCCAUUAAGUGAAUCAACAUAUGUAUAAUGACAACACCGAACAGAACAGAGAGAGACAGAAAUAAGAUUGGCAAUGGUUGAAAACUUUCCAAAUGUAAGGAAAAACAUCAAUCUAGACACCCAAAGAGCUCAAAAAGAUCCAACUAUACAGGCAAAGAGAGCCACACCUGGACAUAUUGUUGUUAAAAUACAGGAAGUCAAAUAGAGAAAAUUUUGAAAAAAAAUUUAAAAAAGACUCAUUGCAUAAAAAGGAACCACAAUAAAGAUGAAUAACUGACUUCUUAUCUGAAACUAUGGAGGCCAAAAGACAAUGGCAUAGUGUAUUCAACAUGCUGAAGGAAAAAGCAAACAAAAGUCUUAGAUAUGCAACAAAACUGUCCUUCAAAAAUCAAGGAGAGAUUUUAAAAAUUUCAAGAUUGGUUAAAACUAAAAGAAUUCAGACCUGCUUUACAAAAAGGAUUAAAAGACAUUCUUCAAGCUGAAAGGAAUUGAUCCAAGAUAAUAAUUCAAACACACACACACACUCACACACUCACACACUCAUGUGUGCAUGCACCAAGA
rnacentral:lncRNA from 1 species